CAACUUUUCGGACGGGUUAAAGUACUUAAACAAAAUACCUAUUUUUAAUAAAAAACGAGCAAAAAAAGAGAUAAAAAAGAUUAAAAUUUAAACAAUUCUUUAAGCUUUUUUACCGCGUGAUUGGAUCACAUGAUAUGUGUUUUGAUGUAACAUGGCGUCUUUAAUUGUCAAGGCAUAAUAAAAUUUCUAGAAGGAUGUGAAAUUUUUCUAAUUUUUGAAUUUGAAACUCAACACAGAAUGCCAGUUGAUAUAAAUAGAUUAACUGAAGGUUGGUUAGAAUUGGAAAGUGAUCCAGGUUUAUUUACACUGCUGUUGGAAGACUUUGGGGUAAAGGGUGUGCAAGUGGAAGAAAUAUAUGAUCUGCAAAAAUCAUUAGAAGGUCCAGUAUAUGGUUUCAUAUUUUUGUUCCGUUGGAUAGAAGAGAGAAGAUCAAGACGCAAAGUAGUAGAACAAGAUGAGAGUUUUGUGAAAGAUGAAGAAAUCGUUAACAACAUAUUCUUUGCACAACAGGUGGUUCCCAAUAGCUGUGCAACCCAUGCAUUACUUUCAGUGUUACUUAACUGCCCAAAUAUUCAUUUGGGUACAACUUUAUCCAGAUUGAAGAUGCAUACAUCUGGAAUGUGUCCAGAAAAUAAAGGAUGGGCAAUUGGUAAUACACCUGAAUUGGCGUGUGCUCAUAACUCGCAUGCAAUGCCUCAAGCCAAAAGACGGCAAGAUAAAAAUACUGGAGUGUCAACUGGAAGAUUUACUGGGGAGGCUUUUCAUUUUGUCAGUUAUGUACCAAUCAAUGGUAGAUUAUUUGAAUUGGAUGGUUUAAAACCAUAUCCCAUGGAUCACGGUCCAUGGAAGGAACACGAAGAGUGGACGGAACAAUUUAGGCGCGUAAUUACGGAUAGAUUAGGAAUGGCAACAGGGGAGCAAUUACAAGAUAUAAGAUUUAAUUUAAUGGCAGUUGUUCCCGAUCGGCGACUUGCUAUUUCGCAUAAAUUAACCAUGUUAAAAACUAAUAGACAAAUAGUAUUAGAAGCAUUGCAACAACUUGUUAAAUUAAGCCAUCAAGAUGGAUCAGAGAAGAAUACAAAUGAUACCGAAAAAUUAGAUAAACCGCAUGAAAAGAAAAGUAAAAUUGAUGAUGAAAAUGCUUUGCCUAAUAAGUCGGAGAUCGAUGAAUCUUCUUCUAUACCAUCUGUUACUGUUGAAAGAAACAAUGAUGCCACGACAGAUACUGAGGAGCCAGCUUCAAAUAUAACUUCUGGGAAGACUGAAUCUAAAAUAAAUACAUAUUUCAGUGGUAUGGAAAAAGUAGUAAUGUGUGCAUUAGAUUAUGCCACGCCUCUUCAAAUACAAACUUCACCGGCACACAGUUCGUCUAGUACCGAUACGUCGUCCGAGAUUGGAUCUGCGUUUAAUUCACCCACACAAGCAUGGGGAUGGAAUUCAGGCCAGAACAGUCCAACGUCCACGAAAGAUUUUAAAAAGUUCGUUGUAAUCAGAGUCGCUGGAGACGAAAAGAAUGAGGCAGGUUUAAGUCGUUCUCUUGGGAAUAUUAAUAUAAAUGGAAAAAGAUUAGUUUCCGACAGUGGUCACUUACAUAAAAAAGUCUGCUUGUCGGGAGAAGUUAGAAUACCUCAUGCUAGAGUGAAAACGAGUAACGGGGAUACUGUUACCGAAGAGAAAAAAGUUGAGAAAAUCGAUCCAAAACUGUGCUCAAAAUACCCGGAAUUGUUUGAACCCCAUACGUUUGCACCCAAAGAUCUUUUAGCGUUGCUGAAGAACUUAGAACACGAAAUAAGUAUUUGUGAAACUAGCUUAAAAGAUGAGAACGACAAAAGGAACAAAUAUAAGAUUGACGAUUGUCGUAGAACGCAUAAUUAUGAUGAAUUUAUUUGCACGUUUCUUUCGAUGCUCGCUCAACAAGGAAAGCUAGCAGAGCUAGUGCAGCAGCAUUUAACUUUAAAGAAACAUACUUCUGUGUCAGUGAACAGAGUUCACAGAUCUUCGAAGAAAGCCGACACUCGCCCAAACUCUUCACGUAGACGUCGAGGUAGAACUAAAUGCAAGAAACGAAAAUAAUUUCCGUAUUGAACAUAAAUAAUUGGAGCUGUUAUCCCACCUAUUGAAUUGUCAAUAUUAAAACCUCAGAAUCGCAACAAGGACAUAGUUUUAAGAAGACAAGCAUGUAAAAAAGAUCAUACGACUGUUGAAACAAAAAGGGAUUGUAAAUUAUGUGUUACAUUUUACCAACCCAGUGUCAAUGACAUCGAACAAUCAGUACUUUAUUUAUUUUGCAAUGCAGACACUUUUUGGAAAGUCGUAGAUUUAAUUUUUUUAUUCUAUUCACUGUACAAAUCUUCAUAUAUUUUUUAUAGUUUUUCCUCGUUUUAAUGCCUCGUGUCUGUCAUAUUUAUAAAUAUAUUGCAAGUUUUAUCUUAUACUGUUGGAUAUAAGAUAAGCGUACAACGUAGGCUUGAUUCACAGUAGAGGGAGCAACCAUCGCUUGCAUGUGUUUGGAGAAAGAAAGCGGAGAGUUUAGGGAGCGACUAUAGUAAACAAUACGGAUAAAUAAGAGGAGUGGUAAAUGAAACAUCAAUUGAAUAUUGUCAAAAACAUUGAAAAUAUUUAUUUCGGUAUUCAUAUACAAGUACACUACACGCUUGUGGAUAUGUCCCUUAGAUCUAAAUACUUAUAUCUCCGUACAGCCGGAGGAAGGAUAAUGAAGUGUCGUGUUGGAAUCGUUUGAUCAAUGGACAACAGCCGACCAAGUCUAAGUCGCUUUACCAUACUGCAUAGGAACUGUAUUCGAAACGUCCUCGAAAAAGCUAUUUCAGGGGUACGGUUGAGGAGGAGAGACACGAUGACGAUGGUUCAGAAGAAAAGUUAUUCGUUCAUAGUUCCUUCUCCGGCCGAUAUGCUCUCUUUAACGCACGCGUUCACGACAUCUGCGCCAUUUCUUCGGCACGAGUAGGAUCGUGCUUUUUGGCAAAAGAAAAAAGAAAGUGCAGUUAUGUACAAAUAUAUUGAUUCGUGGUCGGCGUGGUCAUAUAUAGGUAACGUUUCCUCUCAUUGGGCAAGUAAUCGUGAGAUACAGAUGUAUUUUGGAAUUUGCGAGUAGAACCUGCGACGAGAUCUCACUGUACACGCACGGUUCGCGUGGCAUCCUUUCUGAUCACACAAACGUGACCGAUCACGAGUUAACAUUUUUUAUUUACAAAAGUAUCGAGGUUUCGCUUUCGAAACCACGCGCACACGCUCUCUUUCUCUCUCUCCCUCUCACGCGAUAAACGUGCUUUAAUCUCGGGUCGCUAACAAAACUCGUAGCUUUACUGCAGGACACAACAUUCAGUUUCUCGUUAUCAUUAAUAGGCACUCGUGGUAUGUUACGGCAAAUCAACUGCGGAACGGUGCACACCGAGUAAGAAUAUUGUUUGAAGCUUCCAAAUAAAUUAGCACAAUUUUUUCCGACAGUUGAUUAUACUUAUAUUCAUAAACGAGGAUACAGAAAUCGUUCAUUGAAUGUGAUCAGUAGUUUCCUCAUUUUUACUCUGAGCAAACCACGAAGACACGCGUUUGAGCGACGAUAAAGAAAAAUUAAUCGAGCAUCGAUCCGUCGGCUGUCGUUCGCAGAAAAUUCUAACAACGAUACGUAUAAACAUGCCGUAUAAAAUAUAGAAAAUUCACGCAAGGAAAAUAACGUAAAAAAUACAAACGAGUAUUAAGGGAUACGAGGGAGAGGGUGCGGGUGAGAGGGCUGUAAAAAGGAAACAAUAAAAACAGAGAUCCUUCCGCGAAUAACGCCGAUUAACGAUUAAUACAGUCUUGAGACGUGUCGUAGAAAAAUCUGAACUGCUCAGAAGCGUGUGGGGUUUACGAACGAUAUGCGUUUUGAACUUGGUUUGUUUAUUUGUCUCGAUCAUUUAUCGUUGGCGCAGUUGCUUCCCGUGACACACAAGCUAUGUAAAAAGAAAUAGUAUUCUCGAACAGGAAACAGUACACAUUUCCUUAUUCGAGAUACUACUUCUUUCCAAGUGUCUAGCUCGGAUUAAUAGUAAUAAAUAAAGAUAUGUUUUACAAAUACAGUGGCUUUAGAUUAACGUUUUGCGGUUUAUCACACUGGCGAGACGAGAAUAUCGAUUGAACUUCUUUUUUACUAAAAACGAAUUCAUGAAGCUGUUUCUUGCUUUGGUUUCUUUCGAGCGUUCCACCGAUAUUCUUCACCUUUCGUCAGAAACUUCGAAAAGACCUUCGACUUCUCUCUUCUUUCAAACGCAUAGAGCCUUCCUCGUGUAUGACACAGUCGAUAUCGAAAAAUAUGUUGAUUUAAAAAAUAUAUAUCUUCUGCAUAUGCGCAUUAUAUAUGUAUAGGGUGUCUGACUGUACCAAACUUUAAUAGAUGAAGGUAAUAUUUUGUAAUUGCAAAUUGGACAGUUUAUGAAACAUGUUCGUACAGAAUGUACUCAAGUUUGGCGCAGUCUUGGGCACCCUACGUAUGUUUCAUACACCUGUAGGCUCACGUAUUAGGAUAUCCAUAAGUAAUGUCGUUCACGCGUAAGUGUACAAGAUUAAAUAAAAGUUCGAAUUUGAAAGUGACGCGUCAAGAGGACAUCACUCGUGGAGUGAUCUAAUUUUAGACAACACGUUUCACUUGCUGGGGCCAACGUUAUCGAGGAUAUCACGAGACAUCAACGAACAACAAAAAUUAACCCGAAAUAUACACGUAUCCAUUCGCUCGUUGUCUCACUUACACGUAUAUGUACACACGCAGUCACAUUAAUCGCUAGUAGUAAAAUGUAUAAAAAGAAAAAAAGAAGACAGAAAGAUGAUCUAGAAGACGCGAGAAGAAAGACACCAACGAGAUUUGGGGAAUCGUAAAGUUGAAGUUGUUGCGGCGUGGGAUAAAAUCGUCGUCGUUAGAUCGAGUUUCAAGGAAAAGAGCGUUCGAGGACUUCUCGACGAGGACGACGGAAGAAUCAUAGGAUGAGCAAAUAAACUAAAUUCGAACGCCACGCGCAAACAUCAAUAAACACUUUUGGAGGUCUCUUUCGAGAGAAACGUUCUCUGCCAGUGGCGUUGCGCCGAAAGGAAAGAACAUAGACGAGAAUGCUACACUUUUUGGAAAAGAGAAAAGAUACCGUAACGAUGCUGGGAUUAAGUCGUUUAAGCAUAAUUGGCGGUAGUGAGAUAGCCGGUUGCGCGACCAAUUAUCGAUUUACCGAGAGAAACUUGGGACUCGUCAAUCCGAGAAUCUUCGAAGUCACUGUUUCUUUUUCCCCCGUUUUAUCGCAGUUCACGUGGUUAGUCCAAUAAGAAUAAAUAAUUACAAAAAAUGAUUAAUCAUGUUCGAAGAGUCUCGAAUUCACGCGAGUUCGUUUCUCUCGGCACUUUCGGACGAUGCGAAUCGAGUCUUGAAUUGAUUCGAAUCGUUGCGAGUCAAACGGGUACAGACCCAGCUCAAUCAGCCGCUACACGACCGUCCGAAUCAACAAAUGAACUCGCUAAUGACGAUAAUGAUAAUAAUAUUAACGAGAGAUAGCCUAAGGAAGUCUUACAGCAUAAGUUACUUAUUACACCUAGGAUCUGUCGCAUCUUUCUUAUCAUCUUAAUUCGUCCCGAUGGAGCACGAGGACCGGUGCGGCACCACCCAAUUUCGGAGAACCCCAAAACGAUGAUCGAUCCGACCGAUCCUCGCGCUCGACCGAAUUGAAAUCAAAGAAAAACCCUCCCGACAAAAGCUCCACACCGUUGCCGUUCUUUUUUCGCGCAUCUCUAGUCGAUCUAUACACAAGGAACCGUACGUGCGAUUCGUAACGCGCGACAUUGGCCGAUAGCAAAAAAAA
rnacentral:misc_RNA from 1 species